GAAAGGUUAAGCUCUCACUACUUUCUUUGUUUCAUUUAGUCUUCUAACAUGAAAUGCAAUAAUUUGUGAGGAGAUAACGAAUUACAAGAAGGAAAAAGAAAGUUGGAGGAGACCAUCUCUCAGCUCCUCAAUAUCAUCCAGCAUCUGCUCAUUUCUGCACUUCACCAGGGCAGCCAUCUCCUUAAUGUCUUGCUGACCUCUGACAGCAUCAUCAAGUGUCCCAGCUCUUGGUUCUCAGCUUGUUGACCUGGGACUCAGCUGUACUAGUUCGUUCCUGAGAUUCCUCCAGCUCAUGCGGGACCUUUCUGAGCCUGAACAUGUGAGUGUUGCCAGCUAUCCCUGGGAAUGGUUUAGGGUUAUACGGACU